rnacentral:lncRNA from 1 species
GGGAAAGAGAAAUGUCAGGAAGAUGAAACAAACAAAUGGGAGGGAAGAGGAAAAGAGUGAGUCCGUAGAGGACAGAGCCCCACAGUUCUUGGCAUCAGGAUCUGGGCAAGUAAUAGAAAAAUAAAGCUGGAUACCUAGAAAACACAGAGGACAUGGUGGAAGUAACAGGAGAGAGUGUGUGAGCUAGUCAGGGGCUAACCCAUUGCAGUCUAGAACAAGGAUCAGAAAACAAGGGACCAUAAGGACUCUUUUCUGAGUACAGUAACACACUUAUAAUAUUUAACAAGCAUAUAUAUCCAUGAUGC